rnacentral:misc_RNA from 1 species
UCCGAGUUGUCCCCGGCAGUCCCCUUAGAGUCCCCGGCAUUACCCGCUGGCAACUAAGGGCAGGGGUUGCGCUCGUUGCGGCACUUAAGCCAACACCUCACGGCACGAGCUGACGACAGCCAUGCAGCACCUGUGCUGGCCCCUUACGGACACGGGUUUCACCCUGCAUGUCAAACCCAGGUAAGGUUCUUCGCGUCGCAUCGAAUUAAGCCGCAUGCUCCACCGCUUGUGCGGGCCCCCGUCAAUCCCUUUGAGUUUUAAUCUUGCGACCGUACUCCCCAGGCGGGAUGCUUAAAGCGUUAGCUGCGCCACUGACGAGCAAGCUCGCCAACGGCUAGUAUCCAUCGUUUACGGCGUGGACUAC